rnacentral:rRNA from 1 species
GAUGAACGCUGGCGGCGUGCCUAAUACAUGCAAGUCGAGCGGACGGACGAGGAGCUUGCUUCUCGGAUGUUAGCGGCGGAGGGGUGAGUAACACGUGGAUCACCUACCUAUAAGAGUGGUAUAACUACGGGAAAGCGGAGAUAAUAGGGGAUAAUAUUUUGAAGCGCGGGGGUCAAAGGUGAAAGACGGUGUUGGUGUCUCUUCUAGAUGGAUCUGCGCUGCAUUAGCUGGUAGUGAAGGUCACGGCUUACGAAGGCAAGGAUGCAUAGCCCAGCGGAGAGGGGGAUCGCCCACACGGGAACUGAGACGCGGUCCAGACUCCUACGGGAGGCAGCAGUAGGGAAUCUGCCGCAAUGGGCGAAAGCCUGACGGAGCAACGCCGCGUGAGUGAUGACAGCCUUGGGAGCGUAAAACUCUGUUAUUAGGUAAGAACAUAUGUGUAAGUAACCGUGCACAUAUUGACGGUAACUAAUCAGAAAGCAACGGCUAACUACGUG